rnacentral:lncRNA from 1 species
CAUUAAGAUGCUGUAUGGGCCAGUGCUGGCUGGGCUAGUUAUUUUCCUGAAAUUGGCUAUCCUUCGACUUCUCCAUGCCCUCUGGCCUCAAGGUCUCCAGUGGCUUCUGUGGACUCUGUCCCUUGCCCGGCAGAGCCCAUCUCAAUCUCUGCCUCUGCCUUUACCCCAGAAUGCCCUAGCAGUGCUCUCACUGGCCUUCUAGAGCUUUCCCAAUGUAUUCCAUGGUAGCUCUUUCUAUGGCAGCGCGUGGGCAUCCCAGGGGCAGCCCUCAGUAGCACCAGAAAUUAUUGCUCCCCGUUCUUUCCUCUGAACCCAUAGCAGAUGCCGGCAGGAACCGUAGGCGGUGGCGUCCCCACAGCUCAGGAUCCAAGAGACUCAUUCCAGCCGCCAAAGCGCUAAGCUUUCCCUGUGAUCACACAUUUUUGCACCAGCCAGAGCUCGCACAUGCCUCUACAGACCCUCGGCCAGAGGCAUGUGGAUAUCAGUGACUGCUCGGAGAAGCUGGCCAAGGCCAGCCCGGCGAGGGAGGGCCCGGAUUACGUGCACGAAGAGAUCUAUUCGAAACAACUGACAAGAAACUGUAUGUCGGAAAUCAGAACAGCUGUGGGCUCCUCACCGCGGCAGAUGGCUGGCUUUCAAAGCUGUCGGGAUGAGCCCUGCUGGACCUGUCUGGGAAGCUUGUUAAACUGCACCAAUGAACUCAUCUAUUCCCCAAAUUGUGCUGAUGACCUCAUCAUCUGCAGCUGUGCGGCUCGAAGCUCGCCCACCCUUCAACUCCCCGGGGAUCACAUCUGGUGGGGAGCCUUGGUACCUGGGGCGGACACAUCUGGAGGUGACUGUCUCUGGAAAUGGAGUGUUUUGUAACCUCCUUUCACUCUUAUCGAUGCAGCCAAGUGGCAGAGAAGGCUUCGGCAAUUUUCUCCCUUGGAAGACAGCCCUUUGGUCUUCAUUCAGUAAGGAUUUGCAGGGGAAAACAGUGAGGUUAAGCUUAGCGCUUCAGAUCCCUUUUCAUUUUUCAUGUAUACAUUCAUGAGUCAUUGCAGAAAUGAUAUUGGCGGGCGCCUAGGGGGCUCUUUCGGCUAAGUUUUGACUCUGGGUUUCAGCUCAGGUCAUGAUCUCACGGUUCAUGAGUUCAAGCCCUGCAUCAGGCUCCAUCCGCGACGAAAGUACAGAGCCCGCUGGGGAUUCUCUCUCUCCCUCUUUCUCUGCCCUUCCCCUGUUCAUGCUCUCUCUCUCUCCAAAUAAAUAAAUUAACUGGAAAAAAAAAAAGAAAUGA